UCUGUCUGUCCGUAUAUAUUUCCUUUCCACAGGACUCCUGGUUUGGUAUAUGCAUGUUGCAGUAGCCCCACUGCAACACUACAGCACAUAAGAAUAAACAGCUACUCAAAGUUGGUUAAAGCAUGUAUUCUUCACCCAGAGGACCAAAUCAUCGGCAAGCUGAUGGGCCAUAAAGCAAAGUGAGUAUCCAGGCAGGUAUUUAAGGUAUGUAUCAUUCAGGCAGUAGAACACAGUGAGUCCUGCAAAGAGGAAUUAUGGGCUAUUAUGUUUAUAAUAGAGACUCGGGCAAUACUAGAGGUGUACCCUACUUACCUUAGGUGCCUAAUGAACAAUCUUCUUAGAUGUCAUUAUUGUGAAUUCACAGAAGCUGCCUUCCAGUGGAAAGGCAAUCUCCAUGCCUUGGUUUCUUGAAAUCAGUUAAUCCUGUUUUUAUUGAGCAGUGUGGGACAAUCUCAUUCGCUGGACUUGUUGUGGUGGUCAAGGCCACCACAGAAGUGACCAAGGAGCCACCAGACCGAAGAACAGUGGAAAUCUGCUGGUGGGCAGGUACCAAUGUACAGAAGUGCCACAGUAGUCACAGCGAGUUCCCAUAGUCCUUCGUCGUGAUAUGUAGAUUACUCCCAGUUAGUUGGCCCAUUGGCCUACCGCCCCCUUUCUUCCCUAUAAGUCUUAGUUCCAGAAUGUUCUCCCCUCCUCAACACCCCAUUGGUUGUUGUAUCCCAACUCCUCCCUCCAUGUUUCCCCGUUGGUUUGUGUACCCUGGACCCCCCUGUGCUGCUCCCCUCCGCUCUUUCUCCAUUGGUCUCUGGCCCUCUCUCUGCCCCUUCUCCUCCCCAUACUUAAUUCCUGGACGCUGUGAUAUCCAGGCUCUUUGCCCCUGGAUCCCUUAAUGUAUGGAAUAAACUCUGUCCGUGGAACUCCACACAAA